AUGCUCACCUGACAGAGGAGGUUCCAUGAUCACUGAGGUGGUUUUCCCAAGGCUGGGCUCCAUCUAUUGUGCUCCAGGGUGCUGCCCCCUGUGAUUUUUCCCAAGUGUGGGAGACUCAACUGAAUAGCUUGUGGGAGUGGGUGACAGCAUAGUAAAAUAUAAAAUGCCUU